AGACUACUGACUUGGACCAGCAGGGGAAUGGCUGUGACAAUAAAUAAGAUUGGGAAAACAAGAAGUCCUUUCCAGGACACUGAAGGCUGCAGAGGUGUGACUGGAUGCUGGUGGAGGGAUGCAUGGCGGGGAAGCUGAGUCAGAUGCUGAAAUCCUCCAAGCAUGCGCCUGAAAUGACCAAGGAAAUGAAGGCGGAGGCUGCUGUCGCCUGGUGGCCUGGGAAGGGCCAAGAGCCAGGGAGCUGGAGGGAGGAGAGAACGUGCGACCUCAGCACGGAGCACUGUAGGGGAGGCGGGGCUCGAGGGAGAUGGCGCCGCGCUCCCCGAUGAACAGAGAAAGCGACAGGGUGAGUCGCAGGGCACAGUGUGGGAUGAGUCACCGACAGCAAGGCAUGGACUCCGGGAAGAAGGGGGAGACGAGCCGGGAAAGACUUGCAUCGGGGAUGUGAGCUGAGCUGCACCCAGACAAAAGCGGCUCGGGGCUCCUGAAAGCAGCGGGCACCGCCGGUCCUGCCAAGGGGCUACUUCCUGCGCGGAGUAGGAGAGUAGGAGACCCCAGGCCAGUCCCAAUCCCCGGCCCGUCCGGGAUGAGGGGGGCUGCGGGAGCUGCGGGGGCCUCCGCCGGGGAGGACGGUUCCAGGGUCCCUCGGCCGCCGCCCACUCCCGGGGGCGUUCCUUCCUCCCAGCUGCGCCCGGAGCGCCUGCUGCCUGGCAAGAGCCCGCCCCUCUGCGCCCAGCCCGCUGCAGCGGAGGGCGCCUGGGUGCCCUCGCCCGAGCCAGCAGCCCACGGUCGGCGCCGCACUGCCCCCUGGUGGCGGAGCGCUCCCGCGACCCGGCUCGCCACGCCUGGGAGGGGUCCAGGAGGACGCGGCUGGGGCCUGGGGGCUCUCAGGGUGGGGCCUUAGGGGAUGAGGCUGGGGCCCGCGGGAAACCGGGCUGGGGCGAGAAGGCUCGCAGGACUUCUUGCCACAGAAUGUUUCGAUGCUGUUUUUAAUUCUGCAAAUGUAAGCCUUUCCACUUUAAGUCCAAGCUCAGCGCAGAGGACUGUUCUAUAAUACAUACAAUUUAGUUUAAAAAUGUUGCAAAUGUUAACGGGUGUCCUUGUCACAAACUCAAGCAAUCCAGUAUUAUAGAAAGCAAAGAAUGAAAUGUGCUUCUUCUUUCUCCCCCAGACGCCCUUGCAUACAUUAAGAUAUGUAUAUAUGGAAAUGUUACCGGGAGUCCCGGUUAUCCCAAAAAGGAUUGUUUCCUGUUGUGUGGUGAGGCCAAUGCACGAAACCGAAAGGGAGUGUGUCAAGCAGUGCAGGCUUUAUUCAAUGGCUCUGGAAUUGGAAGAUCUGAAAUCAACUUAGCUGGUGAGAGCUGGGAAGUUACAGAGGUAGGGUGUCUUUAAUGAAGGGGCUGGGCAUUAAGAGCACGGGGGGGAAUAUUCAUGCUUUUCUUGGGAAAGAACGGAGAUUUUUCCCGGAAUCAAGGAACCCCUUUUUUUCUGUCCCUUCUUGGUCUCUUCCAGUCGUUGUCAUGGCGACUGUCAAUUGUCACGGCGCUGGUGGGAGUGUUGUUUAGCAUGAGAACUGGAUGAUAAUAAAGCCAGAGGCUCGUCAGAGGCGCCAUCUUGGAUUUCGCCAGCUUCAGCUGGUUUCGUCCCAAGAAGGAACUUCAAAACACAGGCAUUGUUUUUCCUGAAAAUAAGCAGAGUUAAAGCUGAGUAGGAAUUUAGCUCUGUCCCAUAUGCUAUCGCGUUGGGCAGCAAAAGCAGGGUGGGGUCCAGCGAAAUCAGCAGGCACUGCAAUGAGUAACAUACCCAGCUACGUUUAUGCAGCAUUUUUACGAAAAUGAAACCAUACUACCUGUAAAGGAAGAUAUGCUAACAAACAACAAAACUGGCAGGAACCAAGAUUCCUACUGACACUACCCUUAGUUUUAAUUUUCCCUGACAACAAAUGAGGUUAACAGAGCAUAAUUAUCAUCUACGGUGACCCCUUCAAAAAGACAGGCUGUAUACAUUUGCACUAAGAGAAGAAAUCGUGUAAUGUCAGCAAAUUUCCCCCACUUAAAGCUUCUCUAUUUAAAAAGCUUCACGCACACACGCACGCAUAUGUCUUCAAGAUGACCACAAUUUAUUUUGCAGUCAUUCUUUGCACCAGUUCCCAAUUUUUCCCACUAGCUCGCAAGCUCCGUGACUCGAGGAGACCGGGGGAUCAGAGUUUGUUUUUGCUGAGAAGUGAGUCCUUUAUGCCCCAAAUAGUGACUGACAUAGAGAAGGUACUCAGUAAACACUUUUUAAAGGAAUGCCUGCCUGACUGAAUCUUAAUGGUGUGAGGCUUCUAGUGUGAUACCCUACCUUGUUUUACCCUGAAGUGACUCUUCCUUAGCUAAGAGAGCCAGACGGACUCCAUCGUGACUCCUUCACUCGCAGCUCCUUACCCACCCCCUUCCUCAAGGACUUAACUUGUGCAAGCUGACUCCCAGCACAUCAAGAAUGCAAUUAACUGAUAAGAUACUGUGGCAAGCUAUAUCCGCAGUUCCCAGGAAUUCGCCCGGUUAAUAGCACCCAGAGCCCCUGCGUUUGUGUCCGGUUGAUAACGCCCAAAGCCCGGCGUCUAUCACCUUAGGAUAGACUUAAAGCCUCUGCACCUGGAACUGUUUACUUUCCUGUAACCGUUUAUCCUUUUAACUUUUUGCCUACUUUACUUCUGUAAGAUUGUUUCAACUAGACUCCCCCUCUCCCCUGUCUAAACCAAAGUAUAGAAGAAAAUCUAGCUCCUUCUUCCGGGCCAAGAGAAUUUUGAGCGCUAGCUGUCUCUCGGCUGCCGGCUAAUAAAGGACUCCUGAAUUCGUCUCAGA
rnacentral:lncRNA from 1 species